GAUGAACGCUGGCGGCGUGCCUAAUACAUGCAAGUCGAGCGAACGGACGAGAAGCUUGCUUCUCUGAUGUUAGCGGCGGACGGGUGAGUAACACGUGGAUAACCUACCUAUAAGACUGGGAUAACUUCGGGAAACCGGAGCUAAUACCGGAUGAUAUUUUGAACCGCAUGGUUCAAAAGUGAAAGACGGUCUUGCUGUCACUUAUAGAUGGAUCCGCGCUGCAUUAGCUAGUUGGUAAGGUAACGGCUUACCAAGGCAACGAUGCAUAGCCGACCUGAGAGGGGGAUCGGCCACACUGGAACUGAGACAGGGUCCAGACUCCUACGGGAGGCAGCAGUAGGAAAUCUUCCGAAAUGGGCGAAAGCCGGACGGAGAAACGCCGCGUGGGUGAGGAAGGUCUUCGGAUCGUAAAACUCUGUUAUUAGGGAAGAACAAAUGUGUAAGUAACUGUGAACAUCUUGACGGUACCUAAUAAGAAAGCCACGGCUAACUACGU
rnacentral:rRNA from 1 species